rnacentral:lncRNA from 1 species
UUUUACAGGGCUUGUUGGAGCAAACGCCCUCCAGCGCGCUAAAAAUGCUAUUUUGACGUUGUAAAUUUUUUUUAGGACGCUACAGUAGCGCGUGUCUGCUGGAGAUGCUCUUAUGAUUUUUCCCUCCACCUCCCGAUAUUACCACAACCGCCAAUGGUAGUGGGGGAGGCAGACUACACCACCAACAUCCUUGGCUAGGGCUCUUGUGACAUGCUCGCAUAUUUCGCAUGCUCCCUCUCACCCCCUCAUCCUGGGUAAAAGUAAGCAUUUGUAAGACUUGAGGUGUCAAAUUUGAAUUUUUUUAUAGUUUGAGCUUUUUCCACCAUUUAGCCUCAAAUAUGAAUU